AAAGGGAGACCUAAUUCAGGUAGGAGACGAAAAAAAAGUAGUCCCUACCAAGAAUCAAUCCCAAAAGGUCGGAGCGAGGCAAAAUUGGCUUUCAAACUAGGUUCUGGGUUCACACAAGACCUGAAUCAGGAACAAGGGCUAUUAGCUCAGGUGGUUAGAGCGCACCCCUGAUAAGGGUGAGGUCCCUGGUUCGAGUCCAGGAUGGCCCACCUGCACAGGUGGCAAAAACAAGAGAAGCGAGGAAUCAGCACCUUAUCUUACUGACAUAGUAAGAGAGAAUGCUGGCUCUGAGUAAAGAGUCCAGAGGAACCUUGAAAACUGCAUAGAGCUAGGUGAAAAAGCCAAAAAAGAAGACCGCAAG
rnacentral:tRNA from 1 species